CAGUCGCCGCGGUAAUACGGAGGGUGCAAGCGUUAAUCGGAAUUACUGGGCGUAAAGCGCACGCAGGCGGUCUGACAAGUCAGAUGUGAAAUCCCCGGGCUUAACCGGGGAACUGCAUUUGAAACUGUCAGGCUGGAGUCCUGUAGAGGGGGGUGGAAUUCCAGGUGUAGCGGUGAAAUGCGUAGAGAUCUGGAGGAAUACCGGUGGCGAAGGCGGCCCUCUGGACAAAGACUGACGCUGAGGUGCGAAAGCGUGGGGAGCAAACAGGAUUAGAGACCCCUGUAGUCCCUGUCUCUUAUCC
rnacentral:rRNA from 1 species